rnacentral:rRNA from 1 species
UGGGGAAUUUUGGACAAUGGGCGAAAGCCUGAUCCAGCAAUGCCGCGUGUGUGAAGAAGGCCUUCGGGUUGUAAAGCACUUUUGUCCGGAAAGAAAUCCUUGACUCUAAUACAGUCGGGGGAUGACGGUACCGGAAGAAUAAGCACCGGCUAACUACGUGCCAGCAGCCGCGGUAAUACGUAGGGUGCAAGCGUUAAUCGGAAUUACUGGGCGUAAAGCGUGCGCAGGCGGUUUGCUAAGACCGAUGUGAAAUCCCCGGGCUCAACCUGGGAACUGCAUUGGUGACUGGCAGGCUAGAGUAUGGCAGAGGGGGGUAGAAUUCCACGUGUAGCAGUGAAAUGCGUAGAGAUGUGGAGGAAUACCGAUGGCGAAGGCAGCCCCCUGGGCCAAUACUGACGCUCAUGCACGAAAAGCGUGGGGAGCAAAACAGGAUUAGAUACCCUGGUAGUCCACGCCCUAAAACGAUGUCAACUAGUUGUUGGGGAUUCAUUUCCUUAGUAACGUAGCUAACGCGUGAAGUUGACCGCCUGGGGAGUACGGUCGCAAAGAUUAAAAACUCAAAUGAAUUGACGGGGUCAUAGCUGUUUCCU